rnacentral:misc_RNA from 1 species
GUUAAAGAUUACUCUUAUUUAAUUUAUUAAAAAAAUAUAAUAUUUUUUACUUGAAAAAAUCCAUCAUUUUGAUGCUAUGAAUUCAAAUGUAUACACAAUAAGCGGGCUAAAGCCUAGUUUGUUAUUUAAAUUACCCUUCUUUUACCUAGACAAAAUGGAUCUGAUCCUCUGGAUUGAUUCUGAUCAUUCGGUUUUGCUAAGACUUUCUCAUUUUGCAGCAACCAUCUUCCCAUUUCUGCACUUGCCUUAUAGCAUUUAAUUUUUUCCUAUAGAAGGCUCCUAGAACUCUGGGUUCAUAAGCAGGAGGCAUGGUACAUGGUCCUGUAACAGAAGGACUCUUCACUAAUGAUUCUGUCAUGAACUUCCUCUCUAACCCAUCUGCAGGACAAGCCAUAACCUCAGAGCAUAACUCCACAGCUCCUUGGGUUACUCGCGGUUCAAAUUUCAGUAGCUUAGCAUACAUAUUUAAGAGGUGAAACAUGUAGUCAUACACAUAGUCCAUCUUUAAUUCUUCUUGAAUGAAAUCACUUGCUGCUUUCCCAAUUGCUUGUGCCUUUUGCUCGUGUUUAUUGCCCCAGUCCACCGCGAAUUUAAUCGAUCUGCAUUUGUCGGUGUCCCUUAUAGGCCAAUAGUGCUUCAGAGGCUGCAGACUUCUCGUGAAGAAGUCAUGGUAGUAUGGUUUUACAAACAAUGUCACAGAAUUGCAGGCUAGAAUAUACUUCUCACUAACAGACCAAGCAUAUCCUUCAAUGUAAAUUUUGUACCUAUAUAUGUGAAUUAUGAAUACAUAAAUUAGGAAAAAGAAUCAAGAUUUAUCACUGAAAAUUUUCAUAAUUAAGUAGUAUUGCUUUGAGAUCACCAGCAGGUAUAACCUGUGCGUACAUUGGCUUGCUAAACCUGAUUUCUUGAAUCCCUGCUGGGAUUCAAGAAUCCAAUCCUGGAUGAAUAAGCGAGCAUUCCAGUCCUGUUCAUCAGAGACAUUGCAAGUAAGGAGGUCCCUUCUGGUUUCAGCAACAAAAGGGUUUCCUUUCCAGUAGGCAUAGGGUUCUCUAUCAAUCCAUUUGGUUUUGUUGUUGCCUUCUUUUAUGUCUUUCAACAUAUCAUUCCAUGGCUUUAUAUUUAUU